rnacentral:rRNA from 1 species
GACGAACGCUGGCGGCGUGCUUAACACAUGCAAGUCGAACGCUGAAGCUCAGCUUUUGUUGGGUGGAUGAGUGGCGAACGGGUGAGUAACACGUGAGUAACCUGCCCCCUUCUUUGGGAUAACGCCCGGAAACGGGUGCUAAUACUGGAUAUUCACUGGUCUUCGCAUGGGGGUUGGUGGAAAGGGUUUUUCUGGUGGGGGAUGGGCUCGCGGCCUAUCAGCUUGUUGGUGGGGUGAUGGCCUACCAAGGCUUUGACGGGUAGCCGGCCUGAGAGGGUGACCGGUCACAUUGGGACUGAGAUACGGCCCAGACUCCUACGGGAGGCAGCAGUGGGGACUAUUGCACAAUGGGCGCAAGCCUGAUGCAGCGACGCCGCGUGAGGGAUGGAGGCCUUCGGGUUGUGAACCUCUUUCACUCAUGGUCAAGCCGCAACAAUGGUUGUGGUGAGGGUAGUGGGUAAAGAAGCGCCGGCUAACUACGUG